UAGUGUUUUGAUUUAUGUUGAUUCACAUUUGAAAAAAAUUAUCUCAUUGCAAUACAGUGACAAAACUAUGGAACCAAUUUUAAAAAAUGUAAAAGGUAAUUGCGAUUUUUUAAUUCUCACAGUCCUGACUUUUUUCUCGCAAUUCUGAUUAUUUUUUCUCAGAAUUGAGACUUGCAACUGCAAGUUAUAAAGUCCAAUUUAGAGGAUAAAGACUAUUUUCUUACAAUUUUAGUUUAUAUUUUGAGUUUAUCUCACCAAUUUUGAAAAAAAAAAAAUAGCAAGAAGUCGCAAUUGCAAGAAUAAAAUCUGAAUUAUGAUCGUGAGAUAAAAAGUCGCAAUUGUGAGAAAAUCUGAAUUAUGAAAUAGUCGCAAUUGCUAGAAGUCAGAUUGUGAGAAAAAAAGUUGCAAUUGUGAGAAAAAAAUCUGAAUUAUGAGAUAGUCGCAAUUACUAGAAGUCAGAUCGUGAGAUAAAAAUCGCAAUUGUGAGAAAAUCUGAAUUAUGAGAUAGUCGCAAUUGCUAGAAGUCAGAUCGUGAGAUAAAAAAUCGCAAUUGUGAGAAAAUCUGAAUUAUGAGAUAGUCGCAAUUUACUAGAAGUCAGAUCGUAAGAUAAAAGUCGCAAUUGUGAGAAAAUCUGAAUUAUGAGAUAGUCGCAAUUACUAGAAGUCAGAUCGUGAGAUAAAAGUCGCAAUUGUGAGAAAAUCUGAAUUAUGAGAUAGUCGCAAUUGCUAGAAGUCAGAUCGUGAGAUAAAAAGUCGCAAUUGUGAGAGAAAAAAAAUCUGAAUUUAUGAGAUAGUCGCAAUUGCUAGAAGUCAGAUCGUGAGAUAAAAGUCGCAAUUGUGAGAAAAUCUGAAUUAUGAGAUAGUCGCAAUUGCUAGAAGUCAGAUCUUGAGAUAAAAAGUCGCAAUUGUGAGAAAAAAAAUCUGAAUUAUGAGAUAGUCGCAAUUGCUAGAAGUCAGAUCGUGAGAUAAAAGUCGCAAUUGUG